GAAGUGAACUUGCUGGACAAAAUCACUCUCUAUGCCCAGGACCUCAGCAAUAUUUCCUUUGCCUAUGAUGAAGCCAACUGCAGGAUCCUGGAGGUGGGGCAGUACGCCACCCUCAACAUCCCCACCAGGGAGGCCUUUGGGGACAGGUUUGCAGAUGAGCUGAGCGUGCUGAUGAAGCUCAGGUACUCCCUGAAGGAGGACACCAGCCUGGUGACCAUCCUCAGCCACAGGAGCCACGUGCUCUUCCAGAUCAGGAUCAACCCCUACGGCCUGGUCUUUGUCACCACGAGGAGGAGACACUACGAGUUCCCAGUUUCCUUCCUUGGUGAUGGGCACUGGCACCAGGUUGCCCUCAGCAUCUCCCUGGAGAGGCUGGAGUUGCACGUGGACUGUCGGCUGGUGGACAGAGUGAGCUGGGCCAACUAUUUCGGGAUGGGAGUGAACACUGAGGGGCUCAUCAUCAUUGGAGGCCUCAUCGAGUCCUUUGAGAUCCCCUUUAAGGGAGCUCUCCAGCAGCUGACCUUCGUGAUGGGAGACCCCUCAGCCGCCGCCGAGCACUGUCACAGCUACAACUCCACCUGCACGGGCUCCUUCAGCCUCAGCCACCUCACCUCCUCCUGGGAGCCCUCCACAGCCUGGCCAGAGGUGGGGCUGAGGGCAGCUGACAAAUUUUGGGAGCGCUG
rnacentral:lncRNA from 1 species